CAUAAACAUCAUUGUUGGAGCGACAACCUUACUGGUAGUAGUUUUGGAUUUUAGUGUAUAUUUCGUAAUAAGAAAACGUAGGACACGUUCAAAAUGAGACUUUUAAUCAGCUGUGUUUUAUUAUCUGUUCUUGUGAUCAUCACAGUCAGUGCUGAAGAGAAGAGAGUGCGGAAAAGAGGAGGAAUAAUCCAUGGCCCGGUCCGCUCCAAGGACAUGUGUCAGGAGGUCAACAUAGAAGACAAGGAAAGAGGUGGAGUCCAUUCAUUUUCAAUAAAAAUACUGGUAAACGAGCCUCGGUUGAGUAUGACACAGAGAGUGACUUUGAAACAAUAAUCAAGGAUGUGCUCACCUACAUGGAGAUGAGAGAGAACGGCAUAUGGGAAGAAGUGACCGAAUGCCUAUCAAGAAACUCGUAUUAUGGUGAAGACACUAAUUCAGCGGACGAGAAAUAAAUACAAAUAUAUAUACUUGUUCGGUCAUUACAUCCUGUGGUGUAUUUUUCUCAAAUUUUCAUCAUCGUAAUUUCCAAGAUUAUUUAUAAUACAAUUUGCUCGCUAUAGUUUAAAUUGAAUGUUCACAAAGACAUUAAACAUUGAAUAUUUUCACAUGACAUAUUUAACCAUGUGAGAUAUAUCAGUGUAUCCAGAUAGUAUUUUCGACACUAUUUUAUUUGUGAUUUUAUUUUAUGAAUGCAUUUUAUCUACGAAAACCGCACGUUGACUGGCCUGCUGGGAAAUAGACCGACACUCAUUGGCGCCUUGGUGGUAUUUGUAUACUGUUGUAAAUUUAUACGAUAUGUAAUGCUGUUCCUUUGCGACAAGAUUACUAUUAUUGUGAUAUUUUUCGAGGCUGUAAAAUAAAAUUUAAUCAAUGACA